rnacentral:misc_RNA from 1 species
GCUAGCAAAGCCCUCUUUCAGCUCUGCAGGGCUUUCCCUUGGCCUGACCAACACGGCGACCGACGGGAAGGGAGAGAUGACCAACUUCGCCAUCCUCGGCGGUGGUGGCAGCGCCGACCGCGGCAAGGACGACGAGAACGACAGCCGCUCCGGCGGCAGUGACAACGCCGAAGGCGCCGGCUCCGGCGAUGCCACCACCGCCGA